rnacentral:lncRNA from 1 species
UGGUGGCUUGGUUAGUUUCUGUACUAAAAUUGGAUUGUUGAAAAGCUCUUAAAGACAGUCAUGUGCUCAUGCGAUAGAGCUGGGCACAUGACUGUCUUUAAGAGCUUAGGCGAAGUCUGGGCACUCGCAUGAAAAAUAUGAUAAUUUACAAUAAUUAUCCUGGAAUUAUAAAUAUUCGUACAAAUAUACCUGUAUUUUCCAAAUAUUAAUAAAAUACCAUAGUGCUUAGUUGGACUGUUGGAGUAUCACCUGAGGUCUGAAGGGUUGCCAGAGGUCUGUGGAAUUAGGAUUUAUAGACAGCUAGAGAGAGAUAGUCGUUGGGAAAUAGG